rnacentral:rRNA from 1 species
AAGUCGUAACAAGGUUUCCGUAGGUGAACCUGCGGAAGGAUCAUUACAGUAGUCAUCCGGGUUGCCGCAAGGCCUCCCGGGUAACCUACCACCCUUUGUUUAUUACACUUUGUUGCUUUGGCAAGCCUGCCCUCGGGCUGCUGGCUCCGGCCGGCGAGCGCUUGCCAGAGGACCUAAACUCUGUUUGUCUAUACUGUCUGAGUACUAUAUAAUAGUUAAAACUUUCAACAACGGAUCUCUUGGUUCUGGCAUCGAUGAAGAACGCAGCGAAAUGCGAUAAGUAAUGUGAAUUGCAGAAUUCAGUGAAUCAUCGAAUCUUUGAACGCACAUUGCGCCCCCUGGUAUUCCGGGGGGCAUGCCUGUCCGAGCGUCAUUACAACCCUCAAGCUCAGCUUGGUAUUGGGCCCCGCCGACCCGGCGGGCCCUAAAGUCAGUGGCGGUGCCGUCCGGCUCCGAGCGUAGUAAUUCUUCUCGCUCUGGAGGUCCGGUCGUGUGCUCGCCAGCAACCCCCAAUUUUUUUCAGGUUGACCUCGGAUCAGGUAGGGAUACCCGCUGAACUUAA